GAUGAACGCUGGCGGCGUGCCUAAUACAUGCAAGUCGAGCGAACGGACGAGAAGCUUGCUUCUCUGAUGUUAGCGGCGGACGGGUGAGUAACACGUGGAUAACCUACCUAUAAGACUGGGAUAACUUCGGGAAACCGGAGCUAAUACCGGAUAAUAUUUUGAACCGCAUGGUUCAAAAGUGAAAGACGGUCUUGCUGUCACUUAUAGAUGGAUCCGCGCUGCAUUAGCUAGUUGGUAAGGUAACGGCUUACCAAGGCAACGAUGCAUAGCCGACCUGAGAGGGUGAUCGGCCACACUGGAACUGAGACACGGUCCAGACUCCUACGGGAGGCAGCAGUAGGGAAUCUUCCGCAAUGGGCGAAAGCCUGACGGAGCAACGCCGCGUGAGUGAUGAAGGUCUUCGGAUCGUAAAACUCUGUUAUUAGGGAAGAACAUAUGUGUAAGUAACUGUGCACAUCUUGACGGUACCUAAUCAGAAAGCCACGGCUAACUACGUGCCAGCAGCCGCGGUAAUACGUAGGUGGCAAGCGUUAUCCGGAAUUAUUGGGCGUAAAGCGCGCGUAGGCGGUUUUUUAAGUCUGAUGUGAAAGCCCACGGCUCAACCGUGGAGGGUCAUUGGAAACUGGAAAACUUGAGUGCAGAAGAGGAAAGUGGAAUUCCAUGUGUAGCGGUGAAAUGCGCAGAGAUAUGGAGGAACACCAGUGGCGAAGGCGACUUUCUGGUCUGUAACUGACGCUGAUGUGCGAAAGCGUGGGGAUCAAACAGGAUUAGAUACCCUGGUAGUCCACGCCGUAAACGAUGAGUGCUAAGUGUUAGGGGGUUUCCGCCCCUUAGUGCUGCAGCUAACGCAUUAAGCACUCCGCCUGGGGAGUACGACCGCAAGGUUGAAACUCAAAGGAAUUGACGGGGACCCGCACAAGCGGUGGAGCACGUGGUUUAAUUCGAAGCAACGCGAAGAACCUUACCAAAUCUUGACAUCCUUUGACAACUCUAGAGAUAGAGCCUUCCCCUUCGGGGGACAAAGUGACAGGUGGUGCAUGGUUGUCGUCAGCUCGUGUCGUGAGAUGUUGGGUUAAGUCCCGCAACGAGCGCAACCCUUAAGCUUAGUUGCCAUCAUUAAGUUGGGCACUCUAAGUUGACUGCCGGUGACAAACCGGAGGAAGGUGGGGAUGACGUCAAAUCAUCAUGCCCCUUAUGAUUUGGGCUACACACGUGCUACAAUGGACAAUACAAAGGGCAGCGAAACCGCGAGGUCAAGCAAAUCCCAUAAAGUUGUUCUCAGUUCGGAUUGUAGUCUGCAACUCGACUACAUGAAGCUGGAAUCGCUAGUAGUCGUAGAUCAGCAUGCUACGGUGAAUACGUUCCCGGGUCU
rnacentral:rRNA from 1 species